rnacentral:rRNA from 1 species
GAUGAACGCUAGCGGCAGGCUUAACACAUGCAAGUCGAGGGCAGCAUAAACAUUGCUUGCAAUGUUUGAUGGCGACCGGCGCACGGGUGCGUAACGCGUAUGUAACCUACCUCAAACAGGGGCAUAACACUGAGAAAUUGGUACUAAUUCCCCAUAAUACUUCGGGAGGCAUCUUCGAGGUUUCAAAUAUUUAUAGGCGUUGGAUGGGCAUGCGUGCUAUUAGAUAGUUGGCGGGGUAACGGCCCACCAAGUCGACGAUAGCUAGGGGAUCUGAGAGGACGGUCCCCCACACUGGUACUGAGACACGGACCAGACUCCUACGGGAGGCAGCAGUGAGGAAUAUUGGUCAAUGGUCUGACGACUGAACCAGCCAUGCCGCGUGAAGGUGACGGCCCUAUGGGUCUUAAACUUCUUUUGUAAGGGAGCAAUAAGCGCCACGUGUGGCGUGAUGAGAGUACCUUACGAAUAAGCAUCGGCUAACUCCGUGCCAG